ACUGUGGUUGGACAGCCCUGAUCUAAACGCUGCCACAGAUGUUUAACGGUGUUUAGUUUUAGACAGGCGACACAGAUCAGCUGUAAUUUGUUCAGAUUAGCAGAUUGAACCGGUCUCUUUCCCCUCCUGCAGUUCCAGUCCUUCAGUCAGUACCGCUGCAAGACGGCCAAAAAGUCUGAGGAGGAAAUCGAGUUCCUGAGGAACAACCCAAAGAUCUGGAACGUCCACAGCGUCCUCAACGUCCUCCACUCCCUCGUGGACAAGAGCAACAUCAACCGGCAGCUGGAGGUCUACACCAGUGGAGGAGACCCAGAGAGCGUGGCUGGAGAGUACGGUCGUCACUCCCUGUACAAGAUGCUGGGUUACUUCAGCUUGGUGGGGCUCCUGAGGCUCCACUCCCUGUUGGGGGAUUAUUACCAGGCCAUCAAAGUCCUGGAGAACAUCGAGCU